rnacentral:rRNA from 1 species
GAUGAACGCUGGCGGCGUGCCUAACACAUGCAAGUCGAGCGAACAGAUGAGGAGUUUGCUUCUAUGACGUUAGGGGCGGGCGGGUGAGUCAAACGUGGAUAACUUACCUUUAAGUCUGGGAUAACUUCGGGAAACCGGAGCUAAUAUCGGAUAAUAUAUUGAACCGCGUGGUUCUUUAGUGCAAGACGGGUUUGCUGACACUUAUAGAUGGAUCCGCGCUGCUUUAGUUAGUUGGUACGCUAACGGCUUACCAAGGCAAGGAUGCGUAGCCGACCGGAGAGGCUGAUCGCCCUCACUGGAACUGAGACACGCACCAGACUCCUAAGGGAGGCCGCAGUAGGGAAUCUUCGGCAGUGGGCGAAAGCCUGACGGAGCAACGGCGCGUGAGUGAUGAAGGUCUUCGGGUCGUAAAACCCUGUUAUGGGGGGAGAACACCUGUGUCAGUAACAAUGCACGUCUUGACGGUACCGGGUCAGAAAGCCACGGCUAACUACGUG